rnacentral:rRNA from 1 species
ACGUAGGGUGCAAGCGUUGUUCGGAAUCACUGGGCGUAAAGGGCGUGUAGGCGGAACGAUUAGCGAGGGGUGAAAUCCCGGGGCUCAACCCCGGAACUGCUCUUCGAACUGUCGAUCUAGAGAAGGUCAGGGGCCGGCGGAAUUCCUGGUGUAGAGGUGAAAUUCGUAGAGAUCAGGAGGAACAUCGGAGGCGAAGGCGGCCGGCUGGGGCCAUUCUGACGCUGAGGCGCGAAAGCGUGGGGAGCAAACAGG